GCCGAGAGACGACUUAGUGGAAAAUGAUGGAAAUGUAGAAAUAAUAGUUAAACUACAUUUCUAUCAUUUUCUACUAAGUCGUCUUUCGGCUUAAG
rnacentral:pre_miRNA from 1 species